rnacentral:rRNA from 1 species
UAGUCUACGCCGUAAACGAUGGAUACUAGUUGUUUGGUUUUCGGACUGAGUGACUAAGCGAAAGUGAUAAGUAUCCCACCUGGGGAGUACGUUCGCAAGAAUGAAACUCAAAGGAAUUGACGGGGGCCCGCACAAGCGGUGGAGCAUGUGGUUUAAUUCGAUGAUACGCGAGGAACCUUACCAGGGCUUAAAUGUAGUCUGACAGCUUUAGAGAUAGAGUUUUCUUCGGACAGAUUACAAGGUGCUGCAUGGUUGUCGUCAGCUCGUGCCGUGAGGUGUCAGGUUAAGUCCUAUAACGAGCGCAACCCCUGUUGUUAGUUGCCAGCGAGUAAUGUCGGGAACUCUAGCAAGACUGCCGGUGCAAACCGCGAGGAAGGUGGGGAUGACGUCAAAUCAUCACGGGCCCUUACGUCCUGGGGCUACACACGUGCUACAAUGCCCGGUACAAUGAGAGGCAAAACCGUGAGGUGGAGCAAACCUAUAAAACCGGGCCCAGUUCGGAUUGGAGUCUGCAACUCGACUCC